rnacentral:rRNA from 1 species
GAACGAGAGAGUGGAGCAAUACAUGAGUAAAGUGGCGACCGGGUGAGUAACACGUGACUAACCUACCUCCGAGUGGGGAAUAACUCCGGGAAACCGGGGCUAAUACCGCAUAACAUCGCAAGAUCAAAGCAGCAAUGCGCUUGGAGAGGGGGUCGCGGCUGAUUAGCUCGUUGGCGGGGUAACGGCCCACCAAGGCGAAGAUCGGUAUCCGGCCUGAGAGGGCGCACGGACACACUGGAACUGAAACACGGUCCAUACUCCUACGGGAGGCAGCAGUGGGGAAUUUUGCGCAAUGGGGGAAACCCUGACGCAGCAACGCCGCGUGGAGGAUGAAGCCCUUUGGGGCGUAAACUCCUUUCGACUCGGACGAUAAUGACGGUACGAGUGGAAGAAGCACCGGCUAACUCUGUGCCAGCAGCCGCGGUAAU